rnacentral:rRNA from 1 species
UACGUAGGGUGCGAGCGUUGUCCGGAAUUAUUGGGCGUCAAGGGCUCGUAGGCGGUUUGUCGCGUCGGGAGUGAAAUCCACUGGCUUAACUGGUGGCUUGCUUUCGAUACGGGCAGACUGGAGGUAUGCAGGGGAGAACGGAAUUCCUGGCGUAGCGGUGGAAUGCGCAGAUAUCAGGAGGAACACCAAUAGCGAAGGCAGCUCGCUGGGACGGUAUUGACGCUAAGGCGCGAAAGCGUGGGGAGCAAACAGG